UAGGGAAUCUUCGGCAAUGGACGAAAGUCUGACCGAGCAACGCCGCGUGAGUGAGGAAGGUUUUCGGAUCGUAAAACUCUGUUGGUAGAGAAGAACGUUGGUGAGAGUGGAAAGCUCAUCAAGUGACGGUAACUACCCAGAAAGGGACGGCUAACUACGUGCCAA
rnacentral:rRNA from 1 species